rnacentral:sRNA from 1 species
GUCUUUCCCCAACAAGGAGUGGGCUAUCUGUGGUGUUGGGUCCUCUUUUAAAACCUUCUAAUUGAUCACAACUAGUUACAGAUUCCUUUGUUCCUGUUCCACUCGCACUGCUUCACUUGACCAGCCUUUU